rnacentral:rRNA from 1 species
ACAGCAGCCGCCACGGUAAUACGAAGGGUGCAAGCGUUAAUCGGAAUUACUGGGCGUAAAGCGUGCGUAGGCGGUUUGUUAAGUCUGUUGUGAAAUCCCCGGGCUCAACCUGGGAAUGGCAAUGGAUACUGGCAAGCUAGAGUGUGUCAGAGGAUGGUGGAAUUCCCGGUGUAGCGGUGAAAUGCGUAGAGAUCGGGAGGAACAUCAGUGGCGAAGGCGGCCAUCUGGGACAACACUGACGCUGAGGCACGAAAGCGUGGGGAGCAAACAGGAUUAGAUACCCGUGUAGUCCCUGUCUCUUAUAC